GACGAACGCUGGCGGCGUGCUUAACACAUGCAAGUCGAGCGGAAAGGCCCUGCUUUUGUGGGGUGCUCGAGUGGCGAACGGGUGAGUAACACGUGAGUAACCUGCCCUUGACUUUGGGAUAACUUCAGGAAACUGGGGCUAAUACCGGAUAGGAGCUCCUGCUGCAUGGUGGGGGUUGGAAAGUUUCGGCGGUUGGGGAUGGACUCGCGGCUUAUCAGCUUGUUGGUGGGGUAGUGGCUUACCAAGGCUUUGACGGGUAGCCGGCCUGAGAGGGUGACCGGCCACAUUGGGACUGAGAUACGGCCCAGACUCCUACGGGAGGCAGCAGUGGGGAAUAUUGCACAAUGGGCGGAAGCCUGAUGCAGCAACGCCGCGUGCGGGAUGACGGCCUUCGGGUUGUAAACCGCUUUCGCCUGUGACGAAGCGUGAGUGACGGUAAUGGGGAAAGAAGCACCGGCUAACUACGU
rnacentral:rRNA from 1 species